rnacentral:rRNA from 1 species
GCUGGCGGCGGGCUUAACACAUGCAAGUCGAACGGGCCUGAAUCGCUUCGGUGGUUCAGGUUAGUGGCGAACGGGUGAGUAACGCGUAGGCAACCUGCCUUUGAGUGUGGAAUAACUCCGGGAAACCGGUGCUAAUACCGCAUGAAGUCCGGGUCUGCAUGGAUUCCGGAUUAAAGCUUUCGGGCGCUCAGAGAUGGGCCUGCGUUGGAUUAGCUUGUUGGUGAGGUAACGGCUCACCAAAGCAGCGAUCCAUAGCUGGUCUGAGAGGAUGAUCAGCCACACUGGCACUGAGACACGGGCCAGACUUCUACGGAAGGCAGCAGUGAGGAAUAUUGCGCAAUGGGCGAAAGCCUGACGCAGCCACGCCGCGUGCAGGAUGACACCCCUACGGGGCGUAAACUGCUUUUAUGUGGGAAGAAAUCCCUCGACGUGUCGGGGGUUGACGGUACCGCAUGAAUAAGGACCGGCUAACUCCGUGCCAGCAGCCGCGGUAAUACGGAGGGUCCAAGCGUUGUCCGGAUUUAUUGGGUGUAAAGGGUGCGUAGGCGGGCCUGUAAGUCAGUGGUGAAAUCCUGCGGCUUAACCGUAGAACUGCCUCUGAUACUGCAGGUCUUGAGUCCUGGAGAG